rnacentral:rRNA from 1 species
CAAGUCGAACGGGACUAUACUGGAAGAAGUUUUCGGAUGGAUUUCGGUAUACCUUAGUGGCGGACGGGUGAGUAACACGUGAGCAACCUGCCUUCGAGAGGGGAAUAACGGCUGGAAACGGUCGCUAAUACCGCAUAACAUACUGGGAGGACAUCCUGCUGGUAUCAAAGAUUUAUCGCUCGAAGAUGGGCUCGCGUCCGAUUAGGUAGUUGGUGAGGUAACGGCUCACCAAGCCGACGAUCGGUAGCCGGACUGAGAGGUUGAACGGCCACAUUGGGACUGAGACACGGCCCAGACUCCUACGGGAGGCAGCAGUGGGGGAUAUUGCACAAUGGGGGAAACCCUGAUGCAGCGACGCCGCGUGUGGGAAGACGGUCCUCUGGAUUGUAAACCACUGUCCCCAGGGACGAAAAUGACGGUACCUGGGGAGGAAGCUCCGGCUAACUACGUGCCAGCAGCCGCGGUAAUACGUAGGGAGCGAGCGUUGUCCGGAAUUACUGGGUGUAAAGGGAGCGUAGGCGGGGAUGCAAGUUGGGUGUCAAAACUACCGGCUCAACUGGUAGUCGCACUCAAAACUGCAGCUCUUGAGUGAAGUAGAGGCAGGCGGAAUUCCUAGUGUAGCGGUGAAAUGCGUAGAUAUUAGGAGGAACACCAGUGGCGAAGGCGGCCUGCUGGGCUUUUACUGACGCUGAGGCUCGAAAGUGUGGGGAGCAAACAGGAUUAGAUACCCUGGUAGUCCACACCGUAAACGAUGAUUACUAGGUGUGGGGG